rnacentral:rRNA from 1 species
GCAUCGAUGAAGAACGCAGCCAGUUGCGAUAAGUAGUGUGAAUUGCAGAAUUCAGUGAGUCAUCGAAUCUUUGAACGCAAAUUGCGCUUUCUGGAUAUCCAGGGAGCAUGCCUGUCUGAGCGUCGUUUAAAAAUCAACAUACUUUGGUAUGGGUAGGGAUAUUAGGUGGCUUUUUAAUUAGAGCUAUCUAUAUCUCGAUGUAUCUGAACCUUGCAUUACUUUGUUUGUAUUGCUUGGAAGGCUCAACUUGCUUCUGUCCUUCUAAAGCUCUGUGCUCGCUUUUGUACGGCUUGUGUUCUUUGCUGAAAUUAACUUUUUAGCAUUCUCACUUUGACCUCAGAUCAGACAAGACUACCCGCUGAAUUUAAGCAUAUCAAUAAGCGGAGGA